CUAUACAUGCACCACCAACCCAUAUUCUCGAUCCAUUAGGGGAUGGCAUAAAUUUUCUUUUAGAGGCAGCAAGGGACAAUGUUUUCAGUUAUAGUCCUUGUCUUAGGACUUUCUCAAACUGUACCAUUCAAAUAACUGAAAACAGAAAAGUCUUUGGUCUUUAAGACUUGUAAGCCGUGAGUAAUAAAUCUUUGUCUUUGUCAAGACAUGUGUACGCCGUGGGUAAAAAUCUUUGUAAGUCGUGGGUAAGGAAUCUGUUUUCAGUUAUAGUCUUUUGUCUUAAGACUGAGCCGCAUGCUCUUAUUUGCCAUCCCCUAACGCCCUUCUCUAUACAUUCACCACCAACCCAUAUUCUCGAUCCAUUAGGGGAUG